GGGGUUUCAUCAUAUUGGCCAAGCUGGUCUUGAACUCCUGGCCUCAAGUGAUCUGCCCAUCUUGGCUUCCCAAAGUGCUGGGAUUACAGGCAUAAGCCACCAUGCUCAGCCCAACCUUAGCCAUCUGAACCUCAUUCCCAUCCCCCCCAAAAAACUGAAGCUAAUAAUGAUGUUAGAGCAACUUGCAGUUUACAGGAAAUAUAGACAAUGGAGAAAUAAUGUAAAUGAUCCAGGAGGCAGCCGACAGACAAAUUCAGAAUGUGAGACAUUCCACAGAACUCAUAUACAAUAUGUCGGUGGCAUAAAAAAGGGAGGUCUAAUUGUGGAGGCGACAUGGGUGUACACAUUUAACAAAAUUCAUCAGAAUGUACCCUUGAAAUCUACUGUAUGCAAAUUUUCCUCCAGUUUUAAAAAAGAAGAAAAGAGGCUGGGUAAGGUGGCUUACGCCUGUAAUCCCAGCACUUUGGGAGGCCAAGGUGGGCAAAUCACUUGAGCUCAAGAGUUCAAGACCAGCCUGGGCAACAAGCCAAAACCCCAUCUCUACAAAAAAUACAAAAUUAGCCAGGUGUGGUGGUGCGUGCCUGUGGUCCCCGCUAUUUGGGAGGCUGAAGUGGGAGGAUCAUUUGAGCGCAAGGAGGUCAAGGCUGCAGUGAACUGCAAUUGUGUCACUGCAUUCCAGCCUGGGCAACAGAGUGAGACCCUGUCUCAAAAAAAAGGGGGAGAGAUUUACCAACUGAAUGAAAUGUGUGGAACUUACAGGUAUUCUAAUUUCAAUAAACCAGUCAAAAAAGACAUUUUUGAAAGGACAAUGGGGGCCGGGUGUGGUGGCUCACACCUGUAAUCCCAGCACUUUGGGAGGCCGAGGCGGGCAGAUCACCUGAGGUCAGGAGUUUGAGACCAGCCUGGCCAACAUGGUGAAACCCCAUCUCUACUAAAAAUACAAAAAAAUUAGCCAGGCAUGGUGACAGGCGCCUCUAAUCCCAGCUACUUGGGAGGCUGAGGCAGGAGAGUCACUUGAACCCGGGAGGCAGAGGUUGCAGUGAGCCAAGAUCGUGCCACUGCACUCCAGCCUGG
rnacentral:lncRNA from 1 species